rnacentral:rRNA from 1 species
CCUACGGGAGGCUGCAGUGGGGAAUAUUGCACAAUGGGGGAAACCCUGAUGCAGCGACGCCGCGUGAGCGAUGAAGUAUUUCGGUAUGUAAAGCUCUAUCAGCAGGGAAGAAAAUGACGGUACCUGACUAAGAAGCCCCGGCUAACUACGUGCCAGCAGCCGCGGUAAUACGUAGGGGGCAAGCGUUAUCCGGAUUUACUGGGUGUAUAGGGAGCGUAGACGGCGGUGCAAGCUAGAUGUGAAAGCCGGGGGCUCAACCCCGGGACUGCAUUUGGAACUGUGCUGCUAGAGUGUCGGAGAGGCAGGCGGAAUUCGUGGUGUAGCGGUGAAAUGCGUAGAUAUUAGGAGGAACACCGGUGGCGAAGGCAGCCUGCUGGACGAUGACUGACGUUGAGGCUCGAAAGCGUGGGGAGCAAACAGGAUUAGAUACCCUAGUAGUC